rnacentral:lncRNA from 1 species
GCGCUUUAAUGCAGUUAACUUCACCAAGAAGUGAUUAUCAAAACAAAAAGUAGAGGAACGUGGGCAUUGCGUCGGAUUCACGUAGCAGCAGUAGUAGUAGUAUUCGCGACUUGUGAUUCUAUUAGUUUGAUAGAGGCAUUUUAUUCUUCUUUUCUCUCUUUAAACACUUUGGUGGGAUUUUAAUGAAAGCUGAUGCAUGACACUAUGAUUCUCUUGCUUCUUCUCCCUUCAGCUGCUGUUCUGAUAUAUGCUACUGCUAGAUUGUAUGUGAACUAAGCACACUCCUACUGAAUCACAUCAGCAUCAUAUUCAUAUUCCUAUAUAAAUCUUAUUUUCAUUAAAUAAAUUAAUCUUUACUGUCUUAUCGGGUAGGGGUAAGGUCCGUCUACAUAUUACCCUCCCCAAACCCCACUUUGUGGGACUAUACUGGGUAGUAGUUAUUGUUGUUGUUAAUCUUUACUAUCGUACCCCAUCUUAGAAUUCCUACUUUUUAAGAAAAUAGUACAAAGUUGAGAAAUUUAUGGGGCUAGUUUCUUGAUAAAAAUUGGAUAUUUUUGUCUUUACAUUAAGUGUACAUGAAUGUGAAGAGAAUUUGAGGGUAGUGAAGUGAUGAACUCUGACGUUGUUUUGCACCAACAUACACUUUUUUCAUAUAAAAGUACUUGUAUAGUUGUAUACAUAAAUAGGGAUUUUGGCAGCAAAGAUUCUGGAGGAAUUGAUUCUGAUACUGUGUUUUCUUUUUCAGGGGUAUAAAUUUGUAGGCAGACUUGUGAAAAGAGUAAUUUGUCUUGCUUUACUCUCCUUGCUUAAAGGCAUACCGGAAGCUAGGGUGGGCCGCAGCGGACUUACUGCCGUACCUUAG